UACUCCUACGGGAGGCAGCAGUAGGGAAUCUUGCGCAAUGGGCGAAAGCCUGACGCAGCAACGCCGCGUGCGGGAAGAAGGCUCUCGGGUUGUAAACCGCUUUCAGUAGGAACGAAUUUGACGGUGCCUGCAGAAGAAGGUGCGGCCAACUACGUGCCAGCAGCCGCGGUAAU
rnacentral:rRNA from 1 species